GGGCGUGUGGUCUAGUGGUAUGAUUUUCCCUUAGCAUGGGAAAGGUCCUGGGUUCAAUUCCCAGCACGUCCA